CAGCAGCCGCGGUAAUACGUAGGGUGCAAGCGUUAAUCGGAAUUACUGGGCGUAAAGCGUGCGCAGGCGGUUUUGUAAGUCUGUCGUGAAAUCCCCGGGCUCGACCUGGGAAUGGCGAUGGAGACUGCAAGGCUAGAAUCUGGCAGAGGGGGGUAGAAUUCCACGUGUAGCAGUGAAAUGCGUAGAUAUGUGGAGGAACACCGAUGGCGAAGGCAGCCCCCUGGGCUAAGAUUGACGCUCAUGCACGAAAGCGUGGGGAGCAAACAGGAUUAGAUACCCCUGUAGUCCCUGUCUCUUAUAU
rnacentral:rRNA from 1 species